rnacentral:rRNA from 1 species
AACGAACGCUGGCGGCAGGCCUAACACAUGCAAGUCGAACGAAGUCUUCGGACUUAGUGGCGCACGGGUGAGUAACACGUGGGAAUAUACCUUACGCUGGGGGAUAACAUCGGGAAACUGAUGCUAAUACCGCAUACGCCCUUCGGGGGAAAGAUUUAUCGGCGAAAGAUUAGCCCGCGUCCGAUUAGCUAGUUGGUGAGGUAAUGGCUCACCAAGGCUCCGAUCGGUAGCUGGUCUGAGAGGAUGACCAGCCACACUGGGACUGAGACACGGCCCAGACUCCUACGGGAGGCAGCAGUGGGGAAUAUUGGACAAUGGGCGCAAGCUUGAUCCAGCCAUGCCGCGUGAGUGAUGAAGGCCUUAGGGUUGUAAAGCUCUUUCACCCACGACGAUGAUGACGGUAGUGGGAGAAGAAGCCCCGGCUAACUUCGUGCCAGCCGCCGCGGUAA